rnacentral:rRNA from 1 species
AACGAACGCUGGCGGCAUGCCUAACACAUGCAAGUCGAACGAGACCUUCGGGUCUAGUGGCGCACGGGUGCGUAACGCGUGGGAACCUGCCCUUAGCUUCGGAAUAACUCCCCGAAAGGGGUGCUAAUACCGGAUAAUGUCUUCGGACCAAAGAUUUAUCGCCUUUGGAUGGGCCCGCGUUGGAUUAGCUAGUUGGUAGGGUAAAAGCCUACCAAGGCGACGAUCCAUAGCUGGUCUGAGAGGAUGAUCAGCCACACUGGGACUGAGACACGGCCCAGACUCCUACGGGAGGCAGCAGUGGCGAAUAUUGGACAAUGGGCGAAAGCCUGAUCCAGCAAGGCCGCGUGAGUGAUGAAGGCCUUAGGGUUGUAAAGCUCUUUUACCCGGGAUGAUAAUGACAGUACCGGGAGAAUAAGCUCCGGCUAACUCCGUG